CAGUAGCGCGGGAAUACGAAGGGUGCAAGCGUUAAUCGGAAUUACUGGGCGUAAAGCGUGCGUAGGCGGUGAGUUAAGUCUGCUGUGAAAUCCCCGGGCUCAACCUGGGAAUGGCAGUGGAUACUGGCUCGCUAGAGUGUGUCAGAGGAUGGUGGAAUUCCCGGUGUAGCGGUGAAAUGCGUAGAGAUCGGAAGGAACAUCUGUGGCGAAGGCGACUAUCUGGGCCAACACUGACACUGAGGCACGAAAGCGUGGGGAGCAAACAGGAUUAGAUACCCGCGUAGUCCCUGUCUCUUAUACA
rnacentral:rRNA from 1 species